GACGAACCGUGCAAACGUUGUUCGGAAUCACUGGGCUUAAAGGGCGCGUAGGCGGGGAGGCAAGUCCGGGGUGAAAUCAUACGGCUCAACCGUAUAAGGGCCUUGGAUACUGCCUGUCUCGAGGGAGGUAGGGGCGUGCGGAACUUCCGGUGGAGCGGUGAAAUGCGUAGAUAUCGGAAGGAACACCGGUGGCGAAAGCGGCGCGCUGGACCUCUUCUGACGCUGAGGCGCGAAAGCCAGGGGAGCAAACGGG
rnacentral:rRNA from 1 species